UACGAAGGGGGCUAGCGUUGUUCGGAUUUACUGGGCGUAAAGCGCACGUAGGCGGAUCGUUAAGUCAGAUGUGAAAGCUCUGGGCUCAACCCAGGAAUUGCAUCUGAUACUGUAGGGCUUGAGUUCGGUAGAGGAGGGCGGAAUUCCAGGUGUAGCGGUGAAAUGCGUAGAUAUCAGGAGGAACACCUGCGGUGUAGACGGCUUACUGGACCAUAACUGACGCUGAGGCACGAAAGCGUGGGUAGCAAACAGG
rnacentral:rRNA from 1 species